CUCUGACAAGGAAAUGGACCUUGGCAAACGUGUGUCAGGAGAGGAUGACUUGGAGGUGUCCACCGUGUUUCUUACUGAAGGCACGGAGUCCAGGGACACCCCCUGCUGCUGCCUAAGAGAAAGUGGCCCAAGAAGCACUGGCCCGGUGCCUGCUGAUGCCAGGAGCCCUCUGCUACUGCCUGACACAAGCAUCCUGCGCUUCCCCCUCCCAGGCCCUCCCCGAAAGCGUGGGCCACAGGUACCACUCCCUAUGCCACUGAGCCCCACAUUUCCCAUCCCCCAAGCCACUCCCACCAGCCCCAGAGCUUUCCUACAUUUAUGAUUUGUCCAAAAAUGUGAUGCCCUUCAGCCCCCAGAAGGUCAUCCUCCAGGCUGUGAUCGUCACACAGGGGGUCCCACAUGGGGUCCUCACAGGCCUUCAACCCAGCACAAAUCGUGGCCUGGUUUGACCUUUGAAAUAUCUCAACAUCUAAAAUUCAG
rnacentral:lncRNA from 1 species